rnacentral:rRNA from 1 species
AGCUCCAAUAGCGUAUAUUAAAGUUGUUGCAGUUAAAAAGCUCGUAGUUGGAUCUCGGGAGCAGGCCGGCGGUCCGCCUCGCGGCGGGUUAUUCCCGUCCUGCCCCCCCCGCCGGGUUUUCCCCCGGGGUCUUCCUUGAGGGGCCCCGGGUGGCCGGAACGUUUACUUUGAAAAAAUUAGAGUGGUUCAAAGCAGGCAGUUCGCCUGAAUAAUGGUGCAUGGAAAAAUGGAAUAGGACCUCGGUUCUAUUUUGUUGGUUUUCGGAACUUGAGGUAAUGAUUAAGAGGGACAGACGGGAGCAUUCGUAUUACACUGUUAGAGGUGAAAUUCUUGGAUCGGUGUAAGACGAACUACUGCGAAAGCAUUUGCCAAGAAUAUUUUCA